GGAAACAGGCGCUAAUACCGGAUAAUAAAGCAGAUCGCAUGAUCAGCUUCUGAAAGGCGGCGUAAGCUGUCGCUAAGGGAUGGCCCCGCGGUGCAUUAGCUAGUUGGUAAGGUAACGGCUUACCAAGGCGACGAUGCAUAGCCGAGUUGAGAGACUGAUCGGCCACAUUGGGACUGAGACACGGCCCAAACUCCUACGGGAGGCAGCAGUAGGGAAUCUUCCACAAUGGACGCAAGUCUGAUGGAGCAACGCCGCGUGAGUGAAGAAGGUUUUCGGAUCGUAAAGCUCUGUUGUUGGUGAAGAAGGAUAGAGGUAGUAACUGGCCUUUAUUUGACGGUAAUCAACCAGAAAGUCACGGCUAACUACGUGCCAGCAGCCGCGGUAAUACGUAGGUGGCAAGCGUUGUCCGGAUUUAUUGGGCGUAAAGCGAGCGCAGGCGGAAAAAUAAGUCUAAUGUGAAAGCCCUCGGCUUAACCGAGGAACUGCAUCGGAAACUGUUUUUCUUGAGUGCAGAAAAGGAGAGUGGAACUCCAUGUGUAGCGGGUGGAAUGCGUA
rnacentral:rRNA from 1 species